AGCAUCCUCAUCAUCAUCGUGCUGGACAGAACAGAACUGCAUCAGACAUUUGCACCUCCUGUCAGGGCUGAGGGAUCAAGAAACAGAUAGAAGACACUCCUCUCCUGUGGGUCCUUCACGUCAAAGCUGAGACUCAAACAUCCACAGAAAGCUGAGUCAGUUUUUACAAACAUCUGGCUUUAAAACUGCUCUGGACAGGAGAUGGUUGUGUUUCCUGCAGCACUUCUGAAGACAAACACCUUCUUCUUCAUGCCUGCAUGUCUUCCUCUGUGCCUCCACAAGAAGACUGUGUGUGACCUGUGGACUGGAUGAGCACAGAUCAGUCCAGCUGCAGCAGAGAAACAUCACUGUCUGUUUUCAGUCAAUCUGUCUCCUGUGUGCAUCAUCAGGUCUUCUUAACACAACUCAAAGGCCUGUGCUCAACAUUCAUGAGUCCAGCAUGAUUGAGGAAACAGCAGCUCCUGGUGAUCACACUUCACAUUUAAAGUCAGACUGCAGAU